CAUGAUGCUCACCUUACAUCUUGGUGCUCAGCCAACAAGCUCUACAUAUUUUACAGGUUUUAAGAACUUAACCUCUUGAACAGCCUUCUUCAUAAGUGACAAGGGACAGUGGCAACAGUCAAUGUAUAUUGGGAAACUUCUUUCCUGCAAAGCAGAGUUAAUUAUAUUUGCAAUCGGUGACACCACCUAACAGGAAGAGGCUUCUAAUGAGGAGAAUCGGAACAAUCGGUCAUGAAAACACGGAGAAAUAUCCACUCAGAAGUCUUUUCUUUUGCUCUUUCCUCUUCUUUUCCUCUUGCUAUAUCCUCCCUAAUGCUCUUCUUUCUCUUUAUUAAGAUGCUUAAGCUUUUA